UACCAGCACCCCGAGUGGUCGGGACGAUUAUUGGGCCUAAAGCAUCCGUAGCCGGUCCUGCAAGUCUUCCGUUAAAUCCAGCUGCUCAACAGAUGGGCCGCGGAGGAUACUACAGAGCUAGGAGGCAGGAGAGGCAAGCGGUACUCAGUGGGUAGGGGUAAAAUCCGUUGAUCCAUUGAAGACCACCAGUGGCGAAGGCGGCUUGCCAGAAUGCGCUCGACGAGUGAGGGAUGAAAGCUGGGGGAGCAAACCGG
rnacentral:rRNA from 1 species